rnacentral:rRNA from 1 species
GACGAACGCUGGCGGCGUGCUUAACACAUGCAAGUCGAACGGAAAGGCCCUGCUUUUGUGGGGUGCUCGAGUGGCGAACGGGUGAGUAACACGUGAGUAACCUGCCCUUUACUUUGGGAUAACUUCAGGAAACUGGGGCUAAUACCGGAUAGGAGCUCCUGCUUCAUGGUGGGGGUUGGAAAGUUUCGGCGGUUGGGGAUGGACUCGCGGUUUAUCAGGUUGUUGGGGGGGUAGUGGCUUACCAAGGCUUUGACGGGUAGCCGGCCUGAGAGGGUGACCGGCCAAAUUGGGAAUGAGAUACGGCCCAGACUCCUAAGGGAGGCAGCAGUGGGGAAUAUUGCACAAUGGGAGGAAGCCUGAUGCAGCAACGCCGCGUGCGGGAUGACGGCCUUCGGGUUGUAAACCGCUUUCGCCUGUGACGAAGAGUGAGUGACGGUAAUGGGUAAAGAAGCACCGGCUAACUACGUG